rfam:Candidatus Jettenia caeni DNA, contig: KST1_D.
CCGUGCUAGAUGGGGAGCUAGCGGUACCCUGUAACCUGCAACCCGCUACAGCAGGAUCGAUCGCUUUUUUGAGGGCUCACAGACUGUUAGCUUUAUCAAUGUAAGGGGUGUUGAAGGCUGGAUCUCAUGCAAUAAGAGACGCUGCGAACCUGGUCAGAUGCGGAAGCAAGCAGCCAUAAGCAUUUGUCCUUAUGUGCCGUGAGCAAGUCUGGCCUGAGCUUACUGCAUUGGUAAACUAAUGGAAACGGGAACAAAAAAAAGUGCACGG